UACAGAGGGUGCGAGCGUUAAUCGGAAUUACUGGGCGUAAAGCGCGCGUAGGCGGCUUUGCAAGUCGGGUGUGAAAUCCCACGGCUCAACCAUGGAAGUGCUUUCGAAACUGCUGAGCUUGAGUACGAAAGAGGAUCGCGGAAUUCCCGGUGUAGAGGUGAAAUUCGUAGAUAUCGGGAGGAACACCAGUGGCGAAGGCGGCGAUCUGGGUCGAUACUGACGCUGAGGUGCGAAAGCGUGGGGAGCAAACAGG
rnacentral:rRNA from 1 species